rnacentral:lncRNA from 1 species
AUGAAGCAAGCCAUCGCUGUCGUGGGACUCGCAAGGAAGGAAGACCCAUGGAAACAGGUGAAGAAGAGGGAAGCGGAUUUGGCUCAAGGAUGGGGCGUCCACCUACCACAUGGGAGGUCCAGGGUUCAAACCCCGGGCCUCCUUGACCCGUGUGGAGCUGGCCCAUGCACAGUGCUGAUGUGCGCAAGGAGUGCCCUGCCACGCAGGGGUGUCCCCCGCGUAGGGGAGCCCCACACGCAAGGAGUGCGCCCCGUAAGGAGAGCCACCCAGCGCGAAAGAAAGUGCAGCCUGCCCGGGAAUGGUGCCGCACACACGGAGAGCUGAUGCAGCAAGAUGACACAACGAAAAGAAACAGAUUCCCAUGCCGCUGAUAAGGAUAGAAGCAGUCACAGAAGAACACAUAGCAAUGGACACAGAGAGCAGACAACUGGGGGGGGAGAAUAAAAAAAAAGUAAAUCUUAAAAAAAAAAGUGUAGAAGAAGGAAAAUAAGGAAGGAAGAGAGAAAUUAAAAGGUGGCUGUACCCAGGGCUAUUUUUGCGACCUCUUGGGCGUCCAUAAUCAUUUCAGAUAAGAAGCUGCGAGGCUCCGCAG